ensembl:lncRNA
AUUUAAAACAGCAAAUAUAGACAAAGCAACAGAAAAGACCACUCAGGCAAAAAAAACCUCCAAAAUGGCCAAAUCCAGGCCUGAGUAUGUAUAAAAGAACAUUACAAAUGAGUAAACUAUUAGGGUUUCUGGAAGACGUUGAGUUUGUCCAAGCUAUCUUAUCAUCAGCUCUUGGGUUGCAUAGUUGUUUCAUGUUGUGUAGUUUGGGCAAAGGAAGAUCUCAGAAGGACAAAGCAUGAGGCACAGAAGCAGGAGGGGAAAAGCUGGUGACAACGAGGUCAGGAAAAGGAGUCAGUGGAAUGGAUUGAAGCAAUGUCUUACCAGCAGGAGAGAGUGUGGCCUCCCACAGCUCCUGGGCAGGGGUGAAGCCGGCCGGCCACCUAGGAGCAGCAUUGCCUCUGGCAGGCGGCCCAGUCUCUGGUAGCAUUUGCUGAAAUUGCAUUCACCCGUUGGUAACUUUCUUGCAACCCUCCCCAUUUCUCUUUCCGUGACCCAGAAGUCACUCGCGUGAAAUCAAGGGCUGUAGUUUGAUAUUCUCCUCUCUGUCACAUCACAAAUCGAUAAUUUCAAAAGACCCUGCUAUUAAUGUGAACCAGGAGAACUAUGAAAACAGGGGACAGCCCAGUUGCUGGAGACAAAUUCACAUAGUGAACAAACUGAAAAUGGAAUCAGUUACUAACUUUCCUGUUUUUCUGAAAUUGUUUCACACAAGCUCAGUGCCUGAAACAUCUUUUCAUUGUGUGCAUAUUACAUGCCAUUUCUGCUAUAUUCUUAUGCCCGGCAGUCUGGACUGCUGAAAAUUAAAUGCAUAAUUAGAAUAAUGUACCAUGCAUUGAUGGCUAAAGACCUUUUUUACUUUUAUUUAUUGUCUUGCUAUGAAAGGACCUUUUGUGUUCUGUAAAUUUAUGCAAGUUAAAUAAACAAACCCUUGUCAGGAAGAAUUUCCCCCAUUGUUAGAUUCAUUUACUAUCGCAGUUGCACUGAGAUGCAUUAUGGGCCCAACACCCAGGGCAGAAGCACUGUUCACAAUGACAAGCAAGUCUCGGAGCAGCUUUAUAUCCAAGUUCCAUUUGUCUCACUGUUAGUGACACUCUUUUCUUUGAAGUCAAUGGGAAUGUUAUUUUUCUUUCCAAAAAUGCCUACAUCUCACUUUGGGUGGAAGGAACAUGAACCGCAUUUGAGUAGUUGCCACUCUACCUAACCUACCCCCGAAAAGGCCAUUCUUAGGACAAAUGUAGUACAUUUUCAAAGCUGCCAUAAAAAAAGACAAAAUCUUGCCAUUUGCAAUAAGAUGGAUGAAGCUUGUGGGCAUUGUGCUAAGCAAAACAAGUCAGAGGAAGAUGAAUAGCACAUCAUCUGAGUAUGAUUUCACUCACGUGUGGAAGAUAAACAAACACAUGGACAAAGAGAACACAUGGGUGGUCACCAGAGAAGGGGGUGGGAUGAGGGUGAAAGGAGUAAAGGGGCGCAUGGGUACGGUGACAGUUGGAAACUAGACUGUUGGCGGUGAAUAUGAUGCAGUCUCUACACAAACUGAUACACAAUAAUGUAACCUGAAAUUCACACAAUGUUAUAAGCCAAUGUGACCUCAAUAAAAUACGUUUUCUAAAAAAAAAUCUGCCUUGAAUCUUUCUUUUUCAAAUCCCAAUUGGAAGUAUACGGCUUUCAACACAAAAUGCCUCUCACAGAGAGUGAGUUUAGGAAGAGGUCUUGACCAGGUCAGGCCAGCAGGCAUUGGCUCUUCUGUAGAAGCAGCUCUGAGCCGGUGCCAUCAAAGUUCACUGACUCCAAGUUAGGCCUACACCUGAAGAUUCUGGUCCCAAUCUCUUCAUUUUUACUCUGGCAUCAUUCUUAGAAACGGUGAGGGGCUGGCCUGGUGGCACAGCGGUUAAGCGCGCAUGUUCUGCUUCUUGGUGCCCCGGGGUUCGCCGGUUCAGAUCCCGGGUACGAACAUGGCACCACUUGGCAAGCCAUGCUGUGGC